UAUACAGCGAAACUGCGAAUGGCUCAUUAUAUAAGUUAUCGUUUAUUUGAUAGUGCCUUACUACUUGGAUAACCGUGGUAAUUCUAGAGCUAAUACAUGCUAAAAACCCCGACUUCGGAAGGGGUGUAUUUAUUAGAUACAAGACCAAUGCCCUUCGGGGCUCUUUGGUGAUUCAUGAUAACUAUACGAAUCGCACGGCCUUGCGCCGGCGAUGGUUCAUUCAAAUUUCUUCCCUAUCAACUUUCGAUGUUUGGGUAUUGGCCAAACAUGGUUGCAACGGGUAACGGAGGGUUAGGGCUCGACCCCGGAGAAGGAGCCUGAGAAACGGCUACUACAUCCAAGGAAGGCAGCAGGCGCGCAAAUUACCCAAUCCCGACUCGGGGAGGUAGUGACAAUAAAUACUGAUACAGGGCCCUUUCGGGCCUUGUAAUUGGAAUGAGUACAAUUUAAAUCCCUUAACGAGGAACAAUUGGAGGGCAAGUCUGGUGCCAGCAGCCGCGGUAAUUCCAGCUCCAAUAGCGUAUAU
rnacentral:rRNA from 1 species